ensembl:lncRNA
CAGAAGUUAGUAUGGGCAUUAGGAACUGAAUUCAGGUCUUGUGGAUCUCUAUCCAGUGCCUUUCCCCCAGAAUGAUAUACCUCCUCAAUAUUCCUUCUGAAGUGUCUAUUACAGACCACAUGAGACUUUCUGCAUAUAAAAAAAAUGCAUGGUCAUGGAAACCAGGUUUUUCCAGCAUUCUUAGAAACUGCAGUUAUUACUUCUGUCAUUCACAGCACCGACCGAAGAAGCAUUAGAAUCCUUAUAAACAAGCAGAAAGACUUUUGGGAGAUACAGGAUGGUGAAAAAGCCAUUGUUGGAAGUCUCACAGCCAAUCAAUACCAUAGUGUGCGAGUACAGAGAAGACUGAAUGAGUCAAACUUCUGCACUGUAUUCAGUUUAAAGAUGACAACCAAAGCCCAUUGAACUGUGUGUCUCAAUAAUUUGAUGGAUGCCCUGCUCUUGAAGAUGUUCAAGGUCAAGCUGGACAGGGUUCUGAGCAACCUGAUCUCACUGAGAAUCCUUCGAAGAACAACACGAGCAAAAGUGCAUAUGCUCUAUUA